CCGCCACGGUUUGUUGUUUUAACGUGGUCGGGGUGUGACAGAAGAGUUGGUAUCAGAGCCAAUGGAUAUUCAGAGGUACUACCUUAAAUCCUUAAUGGGCUUCUACGUGGUAGUUAAGACCCUUGGAUUAUAUAAGUGCCAUUUCAUAUUUUGAAAAAGACCCCUUGAGUGGUCUAGUUAAAGAUUGAUUCAACAUCUGGUCAGGAAUGAAAUGUGAUAUAGCUGGAAAGACUUCUAGGUAGUCUGUUUUAAAAGAUCAUUUAUUGAUCUACAGGACUCAAUGAUGGUCUGGUCACGCUCAUCACAGGUUCAUUCAUUUGGUUCUUCCCUACACAUUAUCAAAUACACUACGGGGACUAUGCAAGGAAUUACGUAAUUAUGGACGCGUACAUAAUUAUGAAAUUCAGUGCACAGAAACCACAGUAAGAUUUAUCAUGUGUAAGAACUGAUAGUGGCAACAAUGACGGAAUGUGAACGAUGUAAUGAGGUACGGUGGACGCACCAAUGACACUUCAUAUACUUGUAUAUAAGUGUCCCUCUUACAAAGCAAGCAUAAUGUUAUUAAAGUUACUAGAAGUUCAGAACCCAACCAGUAUUGUCUUAUAUUUCCGACUUCAUGUUUCGAGCUCUCACAAGUUUCCUCUGAUUAAAUUUCGGGACGAAAUUUCCUGAAGUAGGGGAGACUGUGACAUCUGUGCCUCCAAGACCAUCGAACAAAUAACAAACCAAUGA
rnacentral:lncRNA from 1 species